rnacentral:ncRNA from 2 species
AGAAUCACCCCCCAUGAAGGUCCGCCUCUCGCUCCUGACGGGGGAGGGCGGUGUAAAAGGGAACAUGGGCACGGGCGCUGCGUCCGGGAGCCAUGGCUGCCCCCGCAACUGUAAGCGGAGAGUUCGUCGCCCGCCCGGGACCUGAGGUUCCGGGCCGUCAGGCCACUGGGCAACCGGGAAGGCCGGCGACGGAUGGUGACCCGCAAGCCAGGAAACCUGCCUUCGCAUCUGACAGGGC